rnacentral:rRNA from 1 species
UACGUAGGUGGCAAGCGUUGUCCGGAUUUACUGGGCGUAAAGAGCGCGCAGGCGGUCGUUCAAGUCGCGUGUGAAAGCCCCGGGCUCAACCUGGGAAUUGCAUUUGAGACUGCGUAGCUAGGGUGCGGAAGAGGGAAGCGGAAUUUCCGGUGUAGCGGUGAAAUGCGUAGAUAUCGGAAGGAACACCAGUGGCGAAAGCGGCUUCCUGGUCCAGCACCGACGUUCAGGCACGAAAGCGUGGGGAGCAAACAGG